GAUGAACGCUGGCGGCGUGCCUAAUACAUGCAAGUCGAGCGAACGGACGAGAAGCUUGCUUCUCUGAUGUUAGCGGCGGACGGGUGAGUAACGCGUGGAUAACCUACCUAUAAGACUGGGAUAACUUCGGGAAACCGGAGCUAAUACCGGAUAAUAUUUUGAACCGCAUGGUUCAAAAGUGAAAGACGGUCUUGCUGUCACUUAUAGAUGGAUCCGCGCUGCAUUAGCUAGUUGGUAAGGUAACGGCUUACCAAGGCAACGAUGCAUAGCCGACCUGAGAGGGUGAUCGGCCACACUGGAACUGAGACACGGUCCAGACUCCUACGGGAGGCAGCAGUAGGGAAUCUUCCGCAAUGGGCGAAAGCCUGACGGAGCAACGCCGCGUGAGUGAUGAAGGUCUUCGGAUCGUAAAACUCUGUUAUUAGGGAAGAACAUAUGUGUAAGUACCUGUGCACAUCUUGACGGUACCUAAUCAGAAAGCCACGGCUAACUACGUG
rnacentral:rRNA from 1 species